rnacentral:rRNA from 1 species
UACGAAGGGGGCUAGCGUUGCUCGGAAUUACUGGGCGUAAAGGGUGCGCAGGCGGUUAUAUAAGACAGAUGUGAAAUCCCCGGGCUCAACCUGGGAACUGCGUUUGUGACUGUAUGACUAGAGUACGGUAGAGAGGGGUGGAAUUCCUGGUGUAGCAGUGAAAUGCGUAGAUAUCAGGAGGAACAUCGAUGGCGAAGGCACUUUACUGGGCUAUUACUAACACUCAGAGACGAAAGCUAGGGUAGCAAAUGGG